GUCCACACCCUAAACGAUGAUAACUCGAUGUUGGCGAUACACAGUCAGCGUCUAAGCGAAAGCAUUAAGUUAUCCACCUGGGAAGUACGACCACAAGGUUGAAACUCAAAGGAAUUGACGGGGGCCCGCACAAGCGGAGGAGCAUGUGGUUUAAUUCGAUGAUACGCGAGGAACCUUACCUGGGCUUGAAAGUUAGUGACCGUCCCUGAAAGGGGACCUUCAGCAAUGACACGAAACUAGGUGCUGCAUGGCUGUCGU
rnacentral:rRNA from 1 species